rnacentral:rRNA from 1 species
UGCGAAGGGGGCUAGCGUUGCUCGGAAUGACUGGGCGUAAAGGGCGCGUAGGCGGACUGCACAGUCAGGCGUGAAAUUCCUGGGCUUAACCUGGGGACUGCGUCUGAGACGUGUGAUCUAGAGUGAGGAAGAGGGUCGUGGAAUUUCCAGUGUAGAGGUGAAAUUCGUAGAUACUGCAAAGAACACCGGUGGCGAAGGCGGCGACCUGGUCCGUGACUGACGCUGAGGCGCGAAAGCGUGGGGAGCAAACAGG